GGACAUAAGGGUGAUCUGGUUGCAACAUCUGUCACCCCACUGAUCGCCAGGGUUGAUUUGGCUGAUCCAGAUGGCUAGGCGGGUGUCUCCUUCCUCCCUCACCACUCUGUGCAUCCCUCCCAGAGCUGCACAAUGGGUUGAAGAGCAUGACCAUCCCCACUAGAGGAGGACUGGUCUUCGGUCAAGGGUAUAUGAGUAGCUGCGUUCCCCUGCUAGAAUCUCCAAACAAUGUCUCAAGAUUUAGGGUUAAUUAAUUCAUUCAUUGACCCAUUUAUUCACUCAACAAAUGUACAUU
rnacentral:snRNA from 1 species